ACUCCUGUAGGAUUUGGGCUAGCCCCUUCUGAAGGAACAGGGACCCCUUUAGUGGGCACAGGCUGUGGUCAUAUUUCUUUUCUCUUUUUCUUUUCUAAUGUUUUUGAGGUAGCCUAGGCUGACCUCUGAGGAUAGCCCAAGUGCUGACACUUCAGGUGUGUGACACCAUGCCUGGCUACUGUCACAUUUUGCCACAUGCCUUUUGCCUGUACUUACUGACUGGAGAGCUGUUUAUUCAUGCUUUGCCCAUGUCAAAACUGGAUAACUGAUUCUUUUCUUUCACCUACAAGUUAGGCCAGGAUGGGCAGGGAGGUUUGUAAAUGAUAGACACAGGCAAGGCGGGGCCAGAGGAGGCUGAGGUGAGAGUCCUUAGGAAAAAUCCAAGAGUCAGUCAGAUGGCAAAGAGCUGAAGAAAUACUGGACCAUUGGAGGGUUCCCAGUGGGAAAGUGCGAACUUCAGGAUGGGCCGUGUGGAGACCUCUGGGGCUGAGACAUGACUAACACAUUUCCAUGCUGAAGGAUGUGGCGGACUGGCAAGGGACUAGAAUAAGAGAUGACGUCAGGGGAGGAGAACUGCUUGAUGGGUGUGAAACAGAGAAAAUCAGGAACCGGUUGUAACUUGUUCCUCAGCACCCCUAACUCUGAUAAGGUUUAGUCAUCGGUUCCUGUGUGUGAGGGGUUGGUGUUUGUAUGUGGAAGCUGAGGAGGACUCGAACUGGAACUUUCUGUCUCUGCCUCUGAGCUCUGGGAUCACAGCUGUCAACCACCACACUCGGUUUACCUCGUGAGCUCUAGAGAAGCACCCUGCCGACUGUGGUGCAUGCUACCCCUUGAAAUUCUCUUUCCUGUUCUAUUAAGUGACAGGUAGCUAGGAUGGACGGAUAUGCUAAAUUUAUCCCUUUCUAGUAAAACAUGAUGUUUUAUGGAAAGGUACAAAAAUACAAGUAUUAAUGAAUUAAAGACAUCUUGCUAUUUCCUU
rnacentral:lncRNA from 1 species